GUUAGCGGCGGACGGGUGAGUAACACGUGGGUAACCUGCCUGUAAGACUGGGAUAACUCCGGGAAACCGGAGCUAAUACCGGAUAGUUCCUUGAACCGCAUGGUUCAAGGAUGAAAGACGGUUUCGGCUGUCACUUACAGAUGGACCCGCGGCGCAUUAGCUAGUUGGUGAGGUAACGGCUCACCAAGGCGACGAUGCGUAGCCGACCUGAGAGGGUGAUCGGCCACACUGGGACUGAGACACGGCCCAGACUCCUACGGGAGGCAGCAGUAGGGAAUCUUCCGCAAUGGACGAAAGUCUGACGGAGCAACGCCGCGUGAGUGAUGAAGGUUUUCGGAUCGUAAAGCUCUGUUGUUAGGGAAGAACAAGUGCAAGAGUAACUGCUUGCACCUUGACGGUACCUAACCAGAAAGCCACGGCUAACUACGUGCCAGCAGCCGCGGUAAUACGUAGGUGGCAAGCGUUGUCCGGAAUUAUUGGGCGUAAAGGGCUCGCAGGCGGUUUCUUAAGUCUGAUGUGAAAGCCCCCGGCUCAACCGGGGAGGGUCAUUGGAAACUGGGAAACUUGAGUGCAGAAGAGGAGAGUGGAAUUCCACGUGUAGCGGUGAAAUGCGUAGAGAUGUGGAGGAACACCAGUGGCGAAGGCGACUCUCUGGUCUGUAACUGACGCUGAGGAGCGAAAGCGUGGGGAGCGAACAGGAUUAGAUACCCUGGUAGUCCACGCCGUAAACGAUGAGUGCUAAGUGUUAGGGGGUUUCCGCCCCUUAGUGCUGCAGCUAACGCAUUAAGCACUCCGCCUGGGGAGUACGGUCGCAAGACUGAACUCAAAGGAUUGACGGGGGCCCGCA
rnacentral:rRNA from 1 species